CUGUACGGAACAUAGUUGAACCGUUCCUUGUCAUUUAAUUCGUGUUCCGUGAGAGUUUGACGUCUUCCUCGCUGAAUGAGAGAGGAAUGCUCUUUACUUGACUGUGAGCUGUGGUUCGAAUCGGUUAUACCAAUGGCGGGUUGAUAAUUUCAACUAUUUAAAUCAUUUUUGUUAAUUUCCAAGUGAAAAGCUAUCUGGAGCCUGGAGUAUGGAAACAUAUGUGUAACUCAACACCGCAUGGAAUCUGGAUAAGAAUCAACCCGCCAUUUGGGAGAAACCAUAAGAUGAAGUCAUAGCCCCUUCUUUGACCACCUAGGGAAACCACCACAGCCACAGUCAAGUCAACAUUGGGAGUAAGUCAUUUUUGGGAACAAGCUUUUUGGGAGUAUUCCAGCUCCUUUUCGUCCUGCCACCUGGGCCUACGGAGGGCAUGGGACCGCAUCAUCUUGAUGCUCAUUUCUGAGGAUGCAGCAGCAACCUCUUUAGGAGUCGUUUGGGAACAUUUAGUGUUGUGUUUUAAGUAACUAUGGUUUUUAUAUAUCAGACAUUUAUUUGAUACAUUAUGUUUAUUAAUUAUUUUUUUCAGAUUUAGCGUACCUUUGUUUUUAUAUGACAUAUUUGUAUACUAUGGUAUUUGGUUCCCAAACUUUGUAUCUACGGUAACUUCUUGUGCACAGGAAUAAGCCUAGAGAAAAUUAGGUUUUUAAUACUUUAUUAUUGGUUUAUGUAAUUCGGGUAAAUUUAUUUUGUAAUAUUACUAGCUUGUUUCCCAAAUAUUUUACUGUUAUUCGCUUUAUUCCAUUUGUUCGGUUAAUUUAGGUCAUCGUCGGUAUUUAUCUCAACUUCAUUUCUGCUUUAGUCAAUUGUAUAUUUAACUUUAUUUAUUCAUUAUUGUAUUUUCCCUUAGUGAGGCUUGGGCCUAUUUAUUUGUAGUAUUUUCAUCUUUGUCAGUUUCCUUUAGUUGUACGUAGCAGGCGUACUAUAACCAUUUGGUAGAAGACUUAUGUAAUUUUGUACCCUAUAUGUUAGUGAGAGGUACUUAUACCUGUAAUUUUGUAACAGAUAACAUUAUUGUUGUUAUCUUAGAGAUAACUUUUUGUAUAACUUAUGUCAUUUUAGAGUCACAUGAUAUACACUUUGUGUAACUCAGAGAUUGUCAAAAAUCUAGUAGUUAUUUUUAAUAAAUAUGUAUUUAUUUUGUA